rnacentral:rRNA from 1 species
UACGUAGGGCGCAAGCGUUGUCCGGAAUCAUUGGGCGUAAAGCGCGUGUAGGCGGCUCGGUAAGUCCGCUGUGAAAGUCGGGGGCUCAACCCUCGGAUGCCGGUGGAUACUGUCGGGCUAGAGUACGGAAGAGGCGAGUGGAAUUCCUGGUGUAGCGGUGAAAUGCGCAGAUAUCAGGAGGAACACCAAUCGCGAAGGCAGCUCGCUGGGACGUUACUGACGCUGAGACGCGAAAGCGUGGGGAGCAAACAGG